GGGUCGUGUUUAAUGAGCACAACCUUCAUACGUUCGGUGCCGAGAUCGUAAUGGUCUCGAAUACUAGUUGCGCUGAAAUGAUAUGGUGACCAGCAAGUCGAAAAACUGCCGUUUGGGCUGCGUGAGAUGCGCCGGGUCCACC
rnacentral:sRNA from 12 species